rnacentral:rRNA from 1 species
GAUGAACGCUGGCGGCGCGCCUAACACAUGCAAGUCGAACGGCACCCCUCCUCGGAGGGAAGCGCGUGGCGAACGGCUGAGUAACACGUGGAGAACCUGCCCCCUCCCCCGGGAUAGCCGCCCGAAAGGACGGGUAAUACCGGAUACCCCGGGGUGCCGCAUGGCACCCCGGCUAAAGCCCCGACGGGAGGGGAUGGCUCCGCGGCCAAUCAGGUAGACGGCGGGGUGACGGCCCACCGUGCCGACAACGGGUAGCCGGGUUGAGAGACCGACCGGCCAGAUUGGGACUGAGACACGGCCCAGACUCCUACGGGAGGCAGCAGUGGGGAAUCUUGCGCAAUGGGGGGAACCCUGACGCAGCGACGCCGCGUGCGGGACGGAGGCCUUCGGGUCGUAAACCGCUUUCAGCAGGGAAGAGUCAAGACUGUACCUGCAGAAGAAGCCCCGGCUAACUACGUG